rnacentral:lncRNA from 1 species
AGAAAAGUAAUAGAGAAUGAGAGAAGGUGCUUCCAUAACCACCUUUUUUUACAAGCACUAUGUUAUUUUCUCCACAAUUGGGUGCCUAAUUAACAUGAUGCCUAAUAAACGUGAUGCUAAAUAUACUUAGUGGCAGAUGCUCUAGCCAAAAAUGCACAAGGUCUAUCUCAGUACUCCACUCAAUGGUGGAUUUCCCCACCCUCUUGGGAUAGAUUGGGCAUGCCUGUUACGAGAUUCACUAUGAAUUAAGCUUCCUACAUCUCUGUUGUUUUGAGGGUUUUUUGUCUUGUUUG